AGAUCUACUUGGGGAACAAAUACUGUAAAAGUACCUGGAUGUAGGCCAAAACAGGGAACUGAAACUGUAAGCCUUUCAGGAAUUUGCUUUUUCUGCAGUCUUUCUACUUACUUACGAACUCAAAAAAAAGUGAAGAUGGAACCGCAGACAUCAAAGACAAGAGUAGUCUAUUCUGGGAACCAUUUAUGGUGUUUCAAUGGCUGCUCUGUGAAAUACAUUUUAUUCAGCAGAAUUCAUGUAUAUAAGACAUCUUCUUCAUUUCUAAAGGACAUACUAAUCCUUCCCACAAAAUGUUUUCCCA